GCUUUUCUGUGCAUCAGUCGGUAGAAUUGGAAUUGUGCAAACAACACAAAUGCCUUGGGUUCGAACCCCAGAGAAAGCA